rnacentral:lncRNA from 1 species
UGAGGCACAGAAAGCCCAAGCUCUUGCACAAGGAUCAGAAGGGGGUAUAACCAGAAUUUGUUUCUCAGCAUCCUGACCAACAAUUAUUUUACCUACUAAACAGGGAAGCCUUUCAAAUAUAAUCCAGGGUAUCCGCUUCAUUUUACAACUAAAGAAAUGAAGGCUGGGUAAGGAUAAAGGACUCACAAAGAUCGUGUGUUUAGUUUCUGCUGGUCUAGACAUCUGGGUUCCAAAAGAAGAAUGCAUCUCCCAGGAGACAUGACAAUGAUUCCAUUCAACAGGAAGUUGAGACUGCCACCUGAACACUUUGGGCUCCUCAUGCCUCUGAAUCAACGGGCAAAGAAGAGAGUUAUAGAUCCUAACCACCCAGGAGAAAUUCGGUGGCCACUACACAAACAGACUUUUCUGACUCUGCGGCCAGGUGUUUGUAUUUAACUCCACGGUGAGGAGACUCAUCUUCUGACGGACCUAACCUAUACCAUCAAGCUCCAGCACCACAAGCAAAGACAAAAACCUUGCGGAAACUAUUUAACUAACUCCCACAAUUGCAUAAGGUAUUGUUAUCAAAUACGAAAGGCUCCAAAUGGCUUUUAUUAUGCCCCGUUAGUGGUGAUACUGAUGGCUGUCCCACCGAUGGUGCUGCUACAAAUGACAGUCAAACAUCCACAAAAGCAAUCUUUCCAAUGUUACUCAAGUUUACUCAAGUUUACUUG